AUUAAGCUAGGUUGAAUGGUUUAAAUGUAAAUAGCAGUGGUGAGCAAGGUAGUUGCUCGGUUCAUUGAUUGAGUUUGUUUGGUGGAAGGAGGGUUGCUAGAUCUAGGGUUUCUAUUCAGAUAAUCAGGAUUAUAAUAGUAUAGAGACUAAGGUUGGAUAUUCUAGAACUCAAACAAUAAGAAUAGUCGAUCAACUUUCGUAUUUUUAGACUAUCUAUCGCUGGAUCUAGGACCUUAGCUGUUGCUUGUUGGUCUUGAGAAAGUGUCGAUCGAUUCCAACAACAGGGUGUCGAUUGUUACACCUUUCAGCCCGUCGAUCGAUGCAACUAAUGAUUUGUCGAUCGAUGAACCUUCCAGGGAGCGUUAUCACACAGGUUUGACAUGUUCACUAGGUUUACUAAAUCAGCUUCCGCUUGUUUCUAGUAAUCCUAGCACAAUCUAAACUAAUCAGACAGAGAAUUAAACUUUCGCUUGCGCCCUACUAUCUAUAGGCAAGGUCAUAGUUAGCUACU
rnacentral:lncRNA from 1 species